rnacentral:rRNA from 1 species
AACGAACGCUGGCGGCAUGCCUAACACAUGCAAGUCGAACGAGACCUUCGGGUCUAGUGGCGCACGGGUGCGUAACGCGUGGGAACCUGCCCUUAGGUUCGGACUAACUCCCCGAAAGGGGUGCUAAUACCGGAUAAUGUCUUCGGACCAAAGAUUUAUCGCCGUUGGAUGGGCCCGCGUUGGAUUAGCUAGUUGGUAGGGUAAAAGCCUACCAAGGCGACGAUCCAUAGCUUGUCUGAGAGGAUGAUCAGCCACACUGGGACUGGGACACGGCCCAGACUCCUACGGGAGGCAGCAGUGGGGAAUAUUGGACAAUGGGCGAAAGCCUGAUCCAGCAAUGCCGCGUGAGUGAUGAAGGCCUUAGGGUUGUAAAGCUCUUUUACCCGGGAUGAUAAUGACAGUACCGGGAGAAUAAGCUCCGGCUAACUCCGUG